GUUAAUGAGAUGCUGUAGGAAUUUAAUUCUUGUUUAUACCAGUGAGCCUGUGGUAAAUGAGUUUCAUUAUACAUUGACUCACUGAGGUCACAGAGCCUGUUGCCCGCGUGAGACACGGCUUCCUGUGUUGCUAGCGUUCCAGGAUGACAUCCAUCUCAAGGACAAACUCAGGGUCCCAAACCAAUGACUGAAAACGAAUAAAUCUCCUCUCCCGCCCACAGAAGGCUUUCGAUGAGGAAAUGAAGAUCAGAGAGGUUCAACAACUGGCCACAGGUCACACAGCAAUUUCAUGGCAGAGCCUUCGCUGAAUCCCAGUUCUCACCCCUGCUACUUCCUAAAAUAGCAAUGAUGUUCAAAGUUCUUGGCUGUGACUCACAGUAAAAAAUACACAUGACAUGGUACACACCCACCCACCCACUCCCACACAAAACACUAAAAAGGGUUUCUUGUAAUGCACACUGGUCUAUUGUCUAUUUAUUCCAUUUUUUAUGAUAUGCUAAUCCCAGCUCACUAAAUUAAGCUCACAACUUGAAAUUUAAAAGCACAUUCCACUGCAUCACCUUGCCCACCACACCUCUCCCCCUGUACAGGCUGAAGUUCUCCGGCGUUUUCUGCCAAGGGACACGGGAGUGGCCCACUUCUCAGCACCCGCGGCCAAAGAGCCCACCAUUAAAGUUUCAUUUGCUUCCAAGAGUGCAGUCCAAGCGACUCUCUUUUCCAGCCCCGGUAGCCACAACAGGCUGCUUCAGAUCACACACCAGGCCCGGGCAGCAGCCUCGUCCUGGUCCUCGUCCUGGUCCUCGUCCUCGUCCUUGUCCUUGUCCUUGACUGGCUCUCCAAGCCACACGUUAGCAGACAUUUGCAUCCUUACAUAAAAGAGCUUGUUCUUAUCUCUCACUAGCCUCUCUGCUGCCGUCACUCUCCCUCCCCAGCCAGGAGCCAGGCAGGCGGGAUGGGAGGGGUGGCAGGAAGCAGAGCUGGGAGGGGAGAGAGGGACAGGCGUGGGUCUGAGGUCAUCAGCUACAUAAGUAGGUGUGAACAGGUGGGCUGCUCAGCAGUCCUCAGGAGACGGCAGCCUCUCUCUCUCUCUCUCUCUCUCUCUCUCUCUCACACACACACACACACAUGCACAGGGUUAAAACAUACUCUCCCUUCUCCUAACCCUGUUUCACCAUUUUCUCCUCCAUUUCCCAAACCUCCUUUACCAAAUAUUCUCUCUCUCUCUCUCUCUCUCUCUCUCUCUCUCUCUCUCUCUCUCUCUCGUUAACAUGGUGGGAGCUGGUUUCCCCUAUUUCUCUUCUAAUUGACAGGUUGGAACUUUCUGCUCUGAUUUGGCAGUGCGGUGCUCUGUGGCAGCCAGGGCUGAAGGCCUCCCAUAGCAACCUGGGCACAUUCCCACGGCUCCCUGAUACCAGGCGGAAUUUCCUGGGUUGGCAACUCAGCCCUCUCAGGAGCAGUUCACAGAUCGCAGGCCGCCAGGCCCUUACUGGAAUGGAGCGGCAGGAUCACAGGACUCUCCCCCCAGCUCUGACCCCGAUGUGCUGUGUGAUGGUGCAGCUGGGACAUCCGAGUGCCAACCAAUCCUCAGUUGCCUCUGAUGUGCAGCCAAGGUUCACACUCACGACUUGAGCAUAUCUGACUUCUUGGAUAAUAAGUAAACCCGCAUGUCACCCAGGGAAGCUCCGGUAUUUCCUUUGUCUUUUGGGGAAGGCAGGCAAAUAGGGGAAACGAUGUAAAAGUGAACUCUCCCUGAGCAGUGAGUGCAGACAUCAUUUCGUUGUAUCUGAAGACUCCAAAGGAAACGAGGCCCAUGUUUCCCUCUAUACAUUUCCAGAACUUCACUGUUUAAUUCUAUCUGGGUUGCAGCCGAGAAAGAAAACCACUUUGAAUGGAAAAGGCCUUUCUUAGUCUGAAGAUCAAGAGCUUCUUCCAGAAGAUUUCUUUUCCAGAACUUUAUUAAACUAAAAUGUAUUAAGG